rnacentral:rRNA from 11 species
GGUUGCGGCCAUAGGUUUCCUUUCCCUGAAUGCAUCAAAUCUAGUAUGACCUUGAAAGCUAAACAGGUCAUGCGUAGCGUGUACUUAGAUGGGGGACUGCCAAGAAAUGCCAGAUGUUGUAGACU